CCUACGGGAGGCAGCAGUGGGGAAUAUUGCACAAUGGGGGAAACCCUGAUGCAGCGACGCCGCGUGAGUGAAGAAGUAUUUCGGUAUGUAAAGCUCUAUCAGCAGGGAAGAAAAUGACGGUACCUGACUAAGAAGCCCCGGCUAACUACGUGCCAGCAGCCGCGGUAAUACGUAGGGGGCAAGCGUUAUCCGGAUUUACUGGGUGUAAAGGGAGCGUAGACGGCGCGGCAAGUCUGAAGUGAAAGGCAGGGGCUUAACCCCUGAACUGCGUUGGAAACUGCCAUGCUAGAGUGCGGGAGAGGUAAGUGGAAUUCCUGGUGUAGCGGUGAAAUGCGUAGAUAUUAGGAGGAACACCAGUGGCGAAGGCGGCUUACUGGACAGUAACUGACGUUGAGGCUCGAAAGCGUGGGGAGCGAACAGGAUUAGAUACCCUAGUAGUC
rnacentral:rRNA from 1 species